UACGUAGGGUGCGAGCGUUCGUCCGGAAUUAUUGGGCGUAAAGGGCUCGUAGGCGGUUUGUCGCGUCGGGAGUGAAAACACCGGGCUUAACUCGGUGCUUGCUUUCGAUACGGGCAGACUAGAGGCAUGCAGGGGAGAACGGAAUUCCUGGUGUAGCGGUGAAAUGCGCAGAUAUCAGGAGGAACACCGGUGGCGAAGGCGGUUCUCUGGGCAUGAUCUGACGCUGAGGAGCGAAAGUGUGGGGAGCGAACAGG
rnacentral:rRNA from 1 species